AUGACCCUGGCGGCAUGCCUUACACAUGCAAGUCGAACGGUAACAGGUCUUCGGACGCUGACGAGUGGCGAACGGGUGAGUAAUACAUCGGAACGUGCCCAGUCGUGGGGGAUAACUACUCGAAAGAGUAGCUAAUACCGCAUACGAUCNNAGGAUGAGAGCGGGGGACCUUCGGGCCUCGCGCGAUUGGAGCGGCCGAUGGCAGAUUAGNGUAGUUGGUGGGAUAAAAGCUUACCAAGCCGACGAUCUGUAGCUGGUCUGAGAGGACGACCAGCCACACUGGGACUGAGACACGGCCCAGACUCCUACGGGAGGCAGCAGUGGGGAAUUUUGGACAAUGGGCGAAAGCCUGAUCCAGCAAUGCCGCGUGCAGGAUGAAGGCCUUCGGGUUGUAAACUGCUUUUGUACGGAACGAAAAAGCUUCUCCUAAUACGAGAGGCCCAUGACGGUACCGUAAGAAUAAGCACCGGCUAACUACGUGCCAGCAGCCGCGGUAAUACGUAGGGUGUGAGCGUUAAUCGGAAUUACUGGGCGUAAAGCGUGCGCAGGCGGUUAUGUAAGACAGAUGUGAAAUCCCCGGGCUCAACCUGGGAACUGUAUUGUGACUGCAUGGCUAGAGUACGGUAAGGGGGAUGGAA
rnacentral:rRNA from 1 species